UCCUCCUUCCUUCCUUUUUAUCUCCUGGUCCUCCUGGUCCUGGUCCCGGUCCUGGUUGGAGCUGUGGUUCUGUGGAGGAAACAGAGAGUAACCAAGACUUCACCUCCUCCUGUAGAAGUGACCUAUGCUGAUGUCAACAUCAGACAGAAGAACAAGAGGAGAGAAAAACCUUCUGCUGAUCCAGAUAGUGUCUACUCUGGUGUGAGGACACACACUGCAGGCCCUGCUGAGGUCACUUAUGGCCAAGUUGAAAUCAGAUCUCAGAGACCUGCUGGCAGGAAUAAAGAGUAUCCAGUUGGUCCAGAUGUUGUGUACUCAUCAGUGAGAGCCGGAAAAUGAAGACAGACAGCUGGAGGAGCGUCACAUCUUUACCACCUGAAUCUUUUAUUUUGUGUGUAACUGUAUUCUGCUAGAAAUACU